rnacentral:misc_RNA from 1 species
ACCCCUCUCUCUCUCUCUCUCUCUCUCUCGUCUCUGCGAUUCAUUUCAGACUGAAGAUCAAAUCCCAAGCCUGAUAUGUUAUCCAAGCACCCUUUCACUACUCCAAAUCCAAGAUGAGAACCCUCAACAACAGCGUUGACACCAUCAGCGCCGCCGCCACUGCCCCGCCGAGUCUCGUGUCCAGCCAACUGCCGUUGAGAAAAGAAGAUGGGGAGGGUGCUGGAGUCUGUACUGGUGUUUUGGUUCUCAUAAAAAUAGCAAGCGAAUUGGUAAUGCUGUUCUUGUUCCUGAACCAGGGGCACCGGGAGCUGUAGUUACUUCAGCUGGAAAUCAAACACACUCGACUGCCGUUGCAGUUCCUUUUAUUGCUCCUCCCUCUUCUCCUGCUUCAUUCCUCCAAUCUGA